rnacentral:rRNA from 1 species
UACAGAGGUCUCAAGCGUUGUUCGGAUUCAUUGGGCGUAAAGGGUGCGUAGGCGGCGUGGUAAGUCGGGUGUGAAAUCUCGGAGCUUAACUCCGAAACUGCAUUCGAUACUGCCGUGCUUGAGGACUGGAGAGGAGACUGGAAUUUACGGUGUAGCGGUGAAAUGCGUAGAUAUCGUAAGGAAGACCAGUGGCGAAGGCGGGCCUCUGGACAGUUCCUGACGCUGAGGCACGAAGGCCAGGGGAGCAAACGGG